GAAAAUCUAUUUGUGUUAAAAGUAUAUUAUUUCUCAGAGGGUGACAAUUAAAUUCACACCCUCCGGUGGAGUUGUUGCUGUAAGUGAAGCCCAACAGAACACUUGCAGGUGAUUUAAAAGGGAAACUGAAUUAAAAAUCAGAUGAAACUUUGGUUUCUUUGAACGUCAAAGGACAUAAGAGACAGUGGAAGGAAAAAACUCAAUAGGUCCAACCAACAUGCAGCUACUAAUUCUUCUAGCCUCUUCAAUUGCAAUAUGUUCCAGUAUUCUCGAGCCACGGAAGUCCCCCGAUUCGCUGCUUAUCUCUAACAUCGUUAAUAUGGAAGAAGUGAGCGAUUCUAUUUCUCCGGAUGUCAAGCGCACCAAAGUUUUGUCCAUCUGGAACGACCUUAGCGUGCUCUCAACAGUUCUCUCCAAGACCAGAAAGACCCCCAACAAGUUUACCAGAGUUUCAAACUUGUUUCAGCAGAAAUACGAUAAUUAUAUCAAGGAUAAAUACUCUAAAUUUAGUAAGGAGCAAAUUAGGAAAAUGCUCUUUCGUUUUGGAUGAAGUUAUUUUGUUUUGAUUUAACUAAGGGUAGUAAUAAAUAUAUUGCAGCAAAAUAUUGUAAAA